rnacentral:lncRNA from 1 species
CUUUUCUAAACACACAGAAAAAGCAUUUUGAGCCAAAAGGCCAAAUGUCUUCCUCUCCUUGGAUAGUGUUUUGGGUGGAGGUGGACUGGACAAGUGCUGGCCCACAUACAGAAAUGAGAUCAGAGCAGACUACGUGUGGUUCUAAGAAAAUGCUACAUUGAGAAACUGGCCAUGAGACUAUCUCCUGAAGCACUACCAAAGACAAGGGCUCCAGGACACCCAUCCAACCUUCUAUCAUGAUGAGCCAUAAUCCAUUUAGAGCUAAGGCAGUCAUCAUGGACCUGAAGAAGAGAACAGACAAUGAUGUGAACAGGACAAGACCGCACCAGUCUGAAUGCACUGGUUAGUGUAAUGAAGAGGCAAUUUGGAGAGAAAAAUAAGAUAUAAAAACUGACUGGAUGUAGCUAAUGUAAUAGAAAGAUAAACUACAGAUGACUCUGAGGUCCCUGGUAAGUUCCUUUCCAGAACCACUCAGAGAGAAGCAGAGAUGAGCUCCUCUCAAACUCAAGAACUGGGAUUCUCCUGCAACUCGUAUGAGAAACCUGUCUCUGUGCAUAGAGUAAAUCUGUGUUCCCACUCCAGCUCUUGCCACUGGAAAUGGGGAUUUCUUGGAGACAUACUAAGCACUAUCUCCCCAUGAUAGAGUCAUCAGUUAACUUUACAAGAUUCCUCCUGUAACCUUCAGUAUGGAUCAGUAUGUAAUGACAUGCUUUUAAGUGGAAAGCACAUUGGAGAUGCCAUGUCAAGACAACAGCAAACAGAUGUUCUGGCAAAAAAGGAGUGCCCUCAUGUGCUGAUGAGUGGCAGAAUUUCAUGACAACAGAGUUGAUACCUAAUUUCUGCCUGUCAUCCACCCAAAUCUAUGCCCUUACAAAGGAGCAUUGAUGGACAAUACAUCUAACAAAGAUGUAAACUAAAGGAUAAUGUAAAAAGUCAUCAGUGAGCAAAGAGGAUCAUGAAGGUUUCAAGAUCUUUCGAAAACAUAAUCCAUGUAAGUUUGGAGAGUAGCAUGAGGCUGUAACCAC